rnacentral:lncRNA from 1 species
AGCUCAGAACAUGAAAAGUCUGUUGCCAUAAGUACUGAAACAAUUGGGGCAACAUUCAUGUUCUGUAACCACCUCUGUCCUGAUGUUUAAUCUGUGUAUCAUUGAUUCGUGUUCCAGGAGCCUUUUCAAUUUAUAAUAGUUUUACACUUAACUGUGAAAACUUUGUAAAAUUGUUUUCAAAUAAAGAAUUGUAUAUUUUUCCAACAAUGGGAAUGAUAGACCCACUGCAGAAAUUAUAAUAAGCCAAAUGACAGGCUUAAAAUAAGGAUCGUUAUGCCUUUUAAGAUGACAGAUAAAAAUCCAAUAGAACUGACACAAUGAAAGGAAAGUCCUGCUUCACGCUAGUGGGCUUUACCACACACCACACACACACACACACACACACACACACACAGAGUCACCAACAAUGCUAUUCACUUGUCUGAAGAUAUGUAACUACACAAUGCUGUCAAUGUGAAUCCUGAGCCAUGCACAUAGUUCUUUUCUUAUUGCACCAAUUUGGAUGUAGACCUAUUAAAAUUUGUGAAUUGUCAAUCAAUCUUGUCUUGAAACAUUUGUAAACUAUAUAUACUGUGGGUAAGAGAGCAAAUGGAUAGGAGAAGGUGUACUUUACACUACACCAAUAGAAAUCAGAUAAUGGUGUUCCAUGAAAUUUAAGAAUGUGUAUUUGAUCUCACAUUUUGUUUAUUCCUCGUUCCCUCGAAAAAUACAUUCUCACUUUAUUAUCAUAAACAACUACUGAUUAUUGUGAAUUAUAUACAGCAUUAUAAAAUGUGUUCAUUAGCAAUAUGUAUUCUUUACCGGGU